UACAGAGGAUGCAAGCGUUAUCCGGAGUGAUUGGGCGUAAAGCGUCCGCAGGUGGUUUUGUAAGUCUGCUGUUAAAGCGUUAGGCUCAACCUAAUAAGGGCAGUGGAAACUAUGAGGCUAGAGUAUGUUAGGGGUAGAGGGAAUUCCCAGUGUAGCGGUGAAAUGCGUAGAGAUUGGGAAGAACACCGGUGGCGAAAGCGGCUCUCUGGACCGAGACUGACGCUGAGGCGCGAAAGCGUGGGGAGCAAACAGG
rnacentral:rRNA from 1 species